GGGUUGUGAGGUUAAGCGACUAAGCGUACACGGUGGAUGCCCUGGCAGUCAGAGGCGAUGAAGGACGUGCUAAUCUGCGAUAAGCGUCGGUAAGGUGAUAUGAACCGUUAUAACCGGCGAUUUCCGAAUGGGGAAACCCAGUGUGUUUCGACACACUAUCAUUAACUGAAUCCAUAGGUUAAUGAGGCGAACCGGGGGAACUGAAACAUCUAAGUACCCCGAGGAAAAGAAAUCAACCGAGAUUCCCCCAGUAGCGGCGAGCGAACGGGGAGCAGCCCAGAGCCUGAAUCAGUGUGUGUGUUAGUGGAAGCGUCUGGAAAGGCGCGCGAUACAGGGUGACAGCCCCGUACACAAAAAUGCACAUGCUGUGAGCUCGAUGAGUAGGGCGGGACACGUGGUAUCCUGUCUGAAUAUGGGGGGACCAUCCUCCAAGGCUAAAUACUCCUGACUGACCGAUAGUGAACCAGUACCGUGAGGGAAAGGCGAAAAGAACCCCGGCGAGGGGAGUGAAAAAGAACCUGAAACCGUGUACGUACAAGCAGUGGGAGCCUCUUUUAUGGGGUGACUGCGUACCUUUUGUAUAAUGGGUCAGCGACUUAUAUUCUGUAGCAAGGUUAACCGAAUAGGGGAGCCGAAGGGAAACCGAGUCUUAACUGGGCGUUAAGUUGCAGGGUAUAGACCCGAAACCCGGUGAUCUAGCCAUGGGCAGGUUGAAGGUUGGGUAACACUAACUGGAGGACCGAACCGACUAAUGUUGAAAAAUUAGCGGAUGACUUGUGGCUGGGGGUGAAAGGCCAAUCAAACCGGGAGAUAGCUGGUUCUCCCCGAAAGCUAUUUAGGUAGCGCCUCGUGAAUUCAUCUCCGGGGGUAGAGCACUGUUUCGGCAAGGGGGUCAUCCCGACUUACCAACCCGAUGCAAACUGCGAAUACCGGAGAAUGUUAUCACGGGAGACACACGGCGGGUGCUAACGUCCGUCGUGAAGAGGGAAACAACCCAGACCGCCAGCUAAGGUCCCAAAGUCAUGGUUAAGUGGGAAACGAUGUGGGAAGGCCCAGACAGCCAGGAUGUUGGCUUAGAAGCAGCCAUCAUUUAAAGAAAGCGUAAUAGCUCACUGGUCGAGUCGGCCUGCGCGGAAGAUGUAACGGGGCUAAACCAUGCACCGAAGCUGCGGCAGCGACGCUUAUGCGUUGUUGGGUAGGGGAGCGUUCUGUAAGCCUGCGAAGGUGUGCUGUGAGGCAUGCUGGAGGUAUCAGAAGUGCGAAUGCUGACAUAAGUAACGAUAAAGCGGGUGAAAAGCCCGCUCGCCGGAAGACCAAGGGUUCCUGUCCAACGUUAAUCGGGGCAGGGUGAGUCGACCCCUAAGGCGAGGCCGAAAGGCGUAGUCGAUGGGAAACAGGUUAAUAUUCCUGUACUUGGUGUUACUGCGAAGGGGGGACGGAGAAGGCUAUGUUGGCCGGGCGACGGUUGUCCCGGUUUAAGCGUGUAGGCUGGUUUUCCAGGCAAAUCCGGAAAAUCAAGGCUGAGGCGUGAUGACGAGGCACUACGGUGCUGAAGCAACAAAUGCCCUGCUUCCAGGAAAAGCCUCUAAGCAUCAGGUAACAUCAAAUCGUACCCCAAACCGACACAGGUGGUCAGGUAGAGAAUACCAAGGCGCUUGAGAGAACUCGGGUGAAGGAACUAGGCAAAAUGGUGCCGUAACUUCGGGAGAAGGCACGCUGAUAUGUAGGUGAAGUCCCUCGCGGAUGGAGCUGAAAUCAGUCGAAGAUACCAGCUGGCUGCAACUGUUUAUUAAAAACACAGCACUGUGCAAACACGAAAGUGGACGUAUACGGUGUGACGCCUGCCCGGUGCCGGAAGGUUAAUUGAUGGGGUCAGCGCAAGCGAAGCUCUUGAUCGAAGCCCCGGUAAACGGCGGCCGUAACUAUAACGGUCCUAAGGUAGCGAAAUUCCUUGUCGGGUAAGUUCCGACCUGCACGAAUGGCGUAAUGAUGGCCAGGCUGUCUCCACCCGAGACUCAGUGAAAUUGAACUCGCUGUGAAGAUGCAGUGUACCCGCGGCAAGACGGAAAGACCCCGUGAACCUUUACUAUAGCUUGACACUGAACAUUGAGCCUUGAUGUGUAGGAUAGGUGGGAGGCUUUGAAGUGUGGACGCCAGUCUGCAUGGAGCCGACCUUGAAAUACCACCCUUUAAUGUUUGAUGUUCUAACGUGGACCCGUGAUCCGGGUUGCGGACAGUGUCUGGUGGGUAGUUUGACUGGGGCGGUCUCCUCCUAAAGAGUAACGGAGGAGCACGAAGGUUGGCUAAUCCUGGUCGGACAUCAGGAGGUUAGUGCAAUGGCAUAAGCCAGCUUGACUGCGAGCGUGACGGCGCGAGCAGGUGCGAAAGCAGGUCAUAGUGAUCCGGUGGUUCUGAAUGGAAGGGCCAUCGCUCAACGGAUAAAAGGUACUCCGGGGAUAACAGGCUGAUACCGCCCAAGAGUUCAUAUCGACGGCGGUGUUUGGCACCUCGAUGUCGGCUCAUCACAUCCUGGGGCUGAAGUAGGUCCCAAGGGUAUGGCUGUUCGCCAUUUAAAGUGGUACGCGAGCUGGGUUUAGAACGUCGUGAGACAGUUCGGUCCCUAUCUGCCGUGGGCGCUGGAGAACUGAGGGGGGCUGCUCCUAGUACGAGAGGACCGGAGUGGACGCAUCACUGGUGUUCGGGUUGUCAUGCCAAUGGCACUGCCCGGUAGCUAAAUGCGGAAGAGAUAAGUGCUGAAAGCAUCUAAGCACGAAACUUGCCCCGAGAUGAGUUCUCCCUGACUCCUUGAGAGUCCUGAAGGAACGUUGAAGACGACGACGUUGAUAGGCCGGGUGUGUAAGCGCAGCGAUGCGUUGAGCUAACCGGUACUAAUGAACCGUGAGGCUUAACCUUACAACGCCGAAGCUGUU
rnacentral:rRNA from 1 species